rnacentral:lncRNA from 1 species
GAUAUAUUAGUAGAAUCAAUAGUUUCUGGGAACUUCCUGAUGGUUAUGCAGAAAUAUCAGCAAACUGAAUUGAGAAUGGUGGCCACUGAUUCUUGAGAAGGAUUUGAAAGCAUAGGGUCUCAGCCAGUUCUAGAACCAGGAAAAGAGAUUGCUGGAGAUAUACAUCAAAGUAACAAAAUAAACAAUGUCAAAGUAACAAAAUAAACAAUGGAUACAUUAAAAGGUAUCAGCUUGGGAAAAGAAACCUUAAGGUGGGACAAGGAAGUUUUCUGGAAUGUAGAGGCCAAAAAGACUAGUAUAAUGGGGAAAUAAGCAAGUAGGAUAAGUGGGAGAAAGAGCUAAUUUGAUUAAAAUGGUUUUACAGCAGACUGUCUAACCUCACUGUCCAAUAUCUAGAAAUCCCAAGAAUUUGUGGGAAGCAAGGAACCAGGGUAGAUGGUGGCAGGAGGGGACCGAAACACAACUUUUUGACCACCUCAAACAAGUUGUGCUUCUCUCCUACUCCUUCCAUGAGUACCCCUUCUAUCAAUAGGGUCAGAAAAUUGGUUUACAACUCACAGGAAAAAGACAAAUUCAUGCUGUUUUGGUUUCAAGACAGACAAUGACAAUUUUGGAUAAUCGUAAUGCUCGUUGAUUGCUUUCAAAGACUUUCCACCUUGUAAGAGGUGAAGUCUUUUGUCCUCGCUGCUUUCAAAUUUAUUCUAUUGGGUAGAUAAGGUGUGACUGAAACUUGAAUGUUAGUGUCGUGGUCCUUAUGUCCUAACCAGUGGUUUAAAAAUCGCCGAGUCUGUACGGAAUUGGCCGAUUCGAACAGGGAAUCGGUCAUCCCGUGUCGAUUCUUUUGUAAAACCGGAAAUCGUCCAAUUCUAGAGAAGAACCGACGAUUCUGUAUAGUGAAUCGCUGGAUGAUGCCAUGACUCACCCGGUAGACGUCAUGACUCGUCCGGUUUGACAUCAUGACUCGCCUGGUUACGUGCACGCGCAUGAAUUUUUGAGUUACAAUGGGCACCCAUUGUCAAAAACACGUGCUCCAUCACAAACCCACACUGCUACGUGUGUUUCGCGCGUGACUAGCUUUGGUAGCAAAAGACUAUUUAUCCUUACCAAAUUUGUUCUGUGGGUUCAAUGUGGGACAAUUGCGCCACGAUAAUAGCUCAGAAAGAAAUAGGAUAUAAUUAUUGAGUGACCUCUUUGUAUCACAACUUAACAUUUAACGUGGUGGUUAGAGCGUUGCUUUGUGCGCUGAACAUCGCGGGAUCAAUUCCUGCCCAGGUGCCAUCAUUCCUUCACAAACAAAUUAAUUUUUUCCUUUUUACAAAAUAAUUUUUUUUUACAAAAAAAAUAAAAGUUUUUUAUAAAAAAAUAUAUUUUUUGUUAAAAAAAAAAUAUAAGGUUCUUGUCAAAAAAAAAAGGUAAUACAACAAAAAAAAAAUUUCUUGUCAAAAAAUAAAAGCUUAUUGUAAGAAAA